UAGGGAAUCUUCGGCAAUGGGGGGAACCCUGAUCGAGCAACGCCGCGUGAGUGAAGAAGGUUUUCGGAUCGUAAAGCUCUGUUGUUAAGGAAGAACGAGUGUGAGAAUGGAAAGUUCAUACUGUGACGGUACUUAACCAGAAAGGGACGGCUAACUACGUGCCAGCAGCCGCGGUAAUACGUAGGUCCCGAGCGUUGUCCGGAUUUAUUGGGCGUAAAGCGAGCGCAGGCGGUUAGAUAAGUCUGAAGUUAAAGGCAGUGGCUCAACCAUUGUAGGCUUUGGAAACUGUUUAACUUGAGUGCAGAAGUGGAGAGUGGAAUUCCAUGUGUAGCGGUGAAAUGCGUAGAUAUAUGGAGGAACACCGGUGGCGAAAGCGGCUCUCUGGUCUGUAACUGACGCUGAGGCUCGAAAGCGUGGGGAGCGAACAGG
rnacentral:rRNA from 1 species